UUUCCCGGUGAGAUGCCUGUGAGCACUGAGGACAGCAGGGGACUUCCUGUCUGCAGCCACAGCCCUCCCCUCAGCAGAGUGCGCGUGGAGGUCCGUGCUCAUCACAUGCUUUUUGUGAGCGAUGAGCUUUGUAGCUGUCACCUGUGUGCUCUGGAAGGGAAGGCACGAGACCUGGGAUCGCAGCUCCUGUCCUCAUCAGCUUCCUGGGAGAAGAACAUUUUGAAAACAAGUAGUAAAGCACUGUUAAGUGUCAAUGGGAAAACACAAGCCCCUCCGGA